rnacentral:lncRNA from 1 species
UUUUAAAAAAAGAUAACAUGUCCAGUACUUAAAAAAAAAAAAAGGAAAAUAAUAUCCUUUGUUUUUCCAUUCAGUGGAUGAUCUUUUCUCAAGUUGGGGGUUUCCUCCCAUAAAUUUUGCUUAUUCUGUCAGCACCUACUUCCACUUAAUCAUCUAUGACUGUGUCCCUCCACCUCCAGCUCACGAAGGGGAAUUAACAACCGCUGAACUCAUCUGGGGAACAUUAGCAACUAUCACUGCUUGGGUUCCACUCCUCACCAAUUAAAACAAAUUUCUGGGGCUAGGGCUUGGCCAUCUGCAGAGUUUAAAAAGUCCCCCAGGUGAUUCUAAUAUACAGCUAGGGCUGCGUUCCAGAGAUCAGCAACAAUCUUAUGUAAGAGAAAGUAGAUCAAAGAGUAAAUGUAGGUGUUUCCAUGGGAAAUUUUGGAAAUAGAUAAUCUAGCUUUGUUUCAUGGUUUAAUAAAUUAAUAUGUGCGCAUUGCUCUACAUUUACAUAGAAAACACAGAACAGUCGUAUUUGAGGCUUGUUUCAUAACUAUAUUCCUUUGGGCUUUGAUGUUUCAUGGCAUGCUGUAGAGUUCUACCUGCAGAAAUUGCUGAAUUUAAGCAAAUAUGUCAGCUGACCAACACUUGAGACAGCAAAGCUUUUACAGUCAUAGACUCCUCUUAAUUUUGGCCUCAUUACUUUUGUUCAGUUGCUGUCGCUGCUGAGGUCUCUCUUUGCUUUUACAGCCUGUUUAUCAGUGUAGCCUGUUGGCCACAAGAGGGACAAGGAAAAAGAAUGGCUUAGUACAAACACUUCCCCACUGCUGGAGAACAGUAGACAACACAUCUCUCCAAGUUAGGAGGCGCAGCACCCUCUUUACACCCGCAGGAUAAAGAAAUGGCAGUCACUAGCAUCUUUGUCACAAAUGAUGUGCCCGAGACGGUACUUGGCAACUUCCAGCCACUUUUCAUCAAAUUCCAGGAGGAACAAAUGACUGUCUUGGGGAAUCCAUUCCUUCAAAAUUCUGAAGAUCACUCUGAUCGGACCAGCUAA